GUCGUGAGAUGUUGGGUUAAGUCCCGCAACGAGCGCAACCCUUAUUUCAUGUUGCCAGCGCGUAAUGGCGGGGACUCGUGAGAGACUGCCGGGGUCAACUCGGAGGAAGGUGGGGAUGACGUCAAGUCAUCAUGCCCCUUAUGUCCAGGGCUUCACACAUGCUACAAUGGCCGGUACAAAGGGCUGCGAUGCCGUGAGGCUUAGCGAAUCCUUUAAAGCCGGUCUCAGUUCGGAUCGGGGUCUGCAACUCGACCCCGUGAAGUCGGAGUCGCUAGUAAUCGCAGAUCAGCAACGCUGCGGUGAAUACGUUCCCGGGCCUUGUACACACCGCCCGUCACGUCAUGAAAGUCGGUAACACCCGAAGCCAGUGGCCUAACCCUUGUGGGGGGAGCUGUCGAAGGUGGGAUCGGCGAUUGGGACGAAGUCGUAACAAGGUAGCCGUACCGGAAGGUGCGGCUGGAUCACCUCCUUUCUAAGGAGCACCACGAAAGCAUUCCCGUUGUGGGGGUGUGAGCCGUGAGGAGUCGUCGCCUGUAGUGGGUGUGGGCUUGGUGCGCAACAACAAUCGUCUCGUUUCGGGGCGGCAGAAUUGCCGGCACACUAUUGGGUCCUGAGGCAACACCUGGAGUCCCCUGUUGUGGGGUGGUGUUGUCCCGCCAUUUUGGUGGUGGGGUGUGUUGUUUGGUAAUUGGAUAGUGGUUGCGAGCAUCUUAAGCAAAAUUGCUUUUUUAGCUGAUUUUGUUCGAGUGUUUUCUUGUGUUUGUAAGUGUUUUAGGGCACAUGGUGGAUGCCUUGGCAUCAGGAGCCGAUGAAGGACGUGGGAGGCUGCGAUAUGCCUCGGGGAGCUGUCAACCGAGCGUUGAUCCGAGGAUGU
rnacentral:sRNA from 1 species